rnacentral:misc_RNA from 1 species
GAUGAAGAACGCAGCGAAAUGCGAUAAGUAAUGUGAAUUGCAGAAUUCAGUGAAUCAGCGAAUCUUUGAACGCACAUUGCGCCCGCCAGUAUUCUGGCGGGCAUGCCUGUUCGAGCGUCAUUACAACCCUCAGGCCCCCGGGCCUGGCGUUGGGGAUCGGCGGAGCCCCCCGUGGGCACACGCCGUCCCCCAAAUACAGUGGCGGUCCCGCCGCAGCUUCCAUCGCGUAGUAGCUAACACCUCGCGACUGGAGAGCGGCGCGGCCACGCCGUAAAACACCCAACUCUUCUGAAGUUGACCUCGAAUCAGGUAGGAAUACCCGCUGAACUUAAGCAUAUCAAUAAGCGGAGGA